rnacentral:rRNA from 1 species
AAAGCUCAAAUUUAAAAUCUGAUAGUCUUUUGGCUGUCCGAGUUGUAAUCUAAAGAAGUGUUAUCCGUGCUGGACCAUGUACAAGUCUCCUGGAAUGGAGCGUCGUAGAGGGUGAGAAUCCCGUCUUUGACAUGGACUACCAGUGCAUUUGUGAUGCACUUUCAAAGAGUCGAGUUGUUUGGGAAUGCAGCUCUAAAUGGGUGGUAAAUUCCAUCUAAAGCUAAAUAUUGGCAAGAGACCGAUAGUGAA